rnacentral:rRNA from 1 species
AGAGUUUGAUCCUGGCUCAGAACGAAUGCUGGCGGCAGGCCUAACACAUGCAAGUCGAACGCUCCGCAAGGGGAGUGGCAGACGGGUGAGUAACACGUGGGAACCUACCUCGAGGUGCGGAACAACCAAGGGAAACUUUGGCUAAUACCGCAUGUGCCCUUAGGGGGAAAGAUUUAUCGCCUUGGGAUGGGCCCGCGUCGGAUUAGCUAGUUGGUGUGGUAAUGGCGCACCAAGGCGACGAUCCGUAGCUGGUCUGAGAGGAUGAUCAGCCACACUGGGACUGAGACACGGCCCAGACUCCUACGGGAGGCAGCAGUGGGGAAUAUUGGACAAUGGGCGCAAGCCUGAUCCAGCCAUGCCGCGUGUGUGAUGAAGGCCUUAGGGUUGUAAAGCACUUUCGCCGAUGAAGAUAAUGACUGUAGUCGGAGAAGAAGCCCCGGCUAACUUCGUG